CUGGGAAUUCUUCUUGAACUUGACGCUUGU
rnacentral:piRNA from 1 species